AUGGUGGAGGUGAAGCGCAGACAGCGAGAGCGUACUCAGAUCGCGACCAAACGACGUUCCACCGCCACCUGCUCCUCACGAGACAAAGACAUUGAAGGAGUUGCUCUGGAGUCCAUCCUACAGAGGUUUAACAGCCGCCAGUCCCGCCGUAGAGCCGGGACCAGUUCCCCCUCAUGGGGCAAUCUUACUGAGACCACCAUACCGGAGAAACGCCCCGCUGACAACAGAGAGGUCAAGAGAGACAGCUGGAUCAAAAGUGCCAUGCAAUCCCCUUUGAUUAAGGAGAGCGUUGAUAAAGAUGAGACACCCAAGCACCCAGAGAUUACAAUCUCGAGCUCAGUGCAGAAAAGUGCCAAUUCCUCAAUCAAUCAACGUGUCUCUGUAUUCACGGUGCAGGAGGAAGAAGAUGUGCAGACAGAGACAGAGGUGCAAAAUAUGAGAGAGGUGUCACGGAAAGUUUUGCAAUACCAGUCCAGUCGAAGUAGCAUUUCAUCCAGCGAGCCCCUGUCACCGAUCCUGUCUCCCAGGCAGACAUUCUUCCAGGAAGACAGAAGACUGCUGAUCGUGACCAUAGAAGAAAACGCAUCUAAAUCCAGCUCUCUGCUGCAGAAUGGCCAGAUCAUCAAUCGCCGGCACACAAUCGCACUUCCUGAGGCCAGUUGUGGAAAUACCAGCCAAGAGGAUCUGUUUGUGCCUAGUAAUCUAAACGCAUCUCCGGCUCCUUCUAUAGGUGUUAUUGGAAAAGGGAAAUCUGUGGAUUGCGGUAUGAUUGCCACAUUGCAAAACUCUACAGAGACUGUUAAAGAUUCAGACACCAAGCCACUUAAUUCUCAAGAGGAAUCACAAUCUGUUGACUCAUCACAAUCGGUCGAGCCGGAGGCGAAGACUGAAGAGACAGUGCCUAGCUUGCAGUUUAGUACUGGGAAGAGACAUAGCCAAACAAUAUCAUUUAAAAGCACUAAAGAAGGCUUCAGCCUUAUGUCUUUAUUUAAGCGUUGGCGUGAAAAAGAAUCAAAAUCAAAAGAGCUUGAUUCUGACAGCGUAGACCCAUGA
rnacentral:lncRNA from 1 species